rnacentral:rRNA from 1 species
GCUAAACGCGAAGAACCUUACCAAGGCUUGACAUAUACGAGAACGCUCUAGAAAUAGAGAACUCUUUGGACACUCGUAUACAGGUGGUGCAUGGUUGUCGUCAGCUCGUGUCGUGAGAUGUUGGGUUAAGUCCCGCAACGAGCGCAACCCUCGUUCUAUGUUGCCAGCGGUUCGGCCGGGAACUCAUAGGAGACUGCCGGGGUCAACUCGGAGGAAGGUGGGGAUGACGUCAAAUCAUCAUGCCCCUUAUGUCUUGGGCUUCACGCAUGCUACAAUGGCCGGUACAAAGGGCUGCAAUACCGUAAGGUGGAGCGAAUCCCAAAAAGCCGGUCUCAGUUCGGAUUGAGGUCUGCAACUCGACCCCAUGAAGUCGGAGUCGCUAGUAAUCGCAGAUCAGCAACGCUGCGGUGAAUACGUUCCCGGGUCUUGUACACACCG